AGUGAACGCUGGCGGUAGGCCUAACACAUGCAAGUCGAACGGCAGCACAGAGGAGCUUGCUCCUUGGGUGGCGAGUGGCGGACGGGUGAGGAGUACAUCGGAAUCUACUCUGUCGUGGGGGAUAACGUAGGGAAACUUACGCUAAUACCGCAUACGACCUACGGGUGAAAGCAGGGGAUCUUCGGACCUUGCGCGAUUGAAUGAGCCGAUGUCGGAUUAGCUAGUUGGCGGGGUAAAGGCCCACCAAGGCGACGAUCCGUAGCUGGUCUGAAAGAAUGAUCAACCACACUGGAACUGAGACACGGUCCAGACUCCUACGGGAGGCAGCAGUGGGGAAUAUUGGACAAUGGGCGCAAGCCUGAUCCAGCCAUACCGCGUGGGUGAAGAAGGCCUUCGGGUUGUAAAGCCCUUUUGUUGGGCAAGAAAUCCAUCUGGUUAAUACCCGGAUGGGAUGACGGUACCCAAAGAAUAAGCACCGGCUAACUUCGUGCCAGCAGCCGCAGUAA
rnacentral:rRNA from 1 species